CUCUCUGUAGCUCAGUUGGUUAGAGCGCUGCACCGGUAUCGCAGGUUAGAUUCCUGUCAGGGACC